UACGUAGGGUGCAAGCGUUGUACGGAAUUAUUGGGCGUAAAGAGCUCGUAGGCGGUUUGUCGCGUCGAAUGUGAAAACCCGGGGCUCAACCCCGGGCCUGCAUUCGAUACGGGCAGACUAGAGUUCGGUAGGGGAGUCUGGAAUUCCUGGUGUAGCGGUGAAAUGCGCAGAUAUCAGGAGGAACACCGGUGGCGAAGGCGGGACUCUGGGCCGAUACUGACGCUGAGGAGCGAAAGCGUGGGGAGCGAACAGG
rnacentral:rRNA from 1 species